GUGCAUAGCCGCAGCUACCAUGCAGUCGAGCGGUAGCACAAGAGAGCUUGCUCUCUGGGUGACGAGCGGCGGACGGGUGAGUAAUGUCUGGGAAACUGCCUGAUGGAGGGGGAUAACUACUGGAAACGGUAGCUAAUACCGCAUAACGUCUACGGACCAAAGUGGGGGACCUUCGGGCCUCACGCCAUCAGAUGUGCCCAGAUGGGAUUAGCUAGUAGGUGGGGUAAUGGCUCACCUAGGCGACGAUCCCUAGCUGGUCUGAGAGGAUGACCAGCCACACUGGAACUGAGACACGGUCCAGACUCCUACGGGAGGCAGCAGUGGGGAAUAUUGCACAAUGGGCGCAAGCCUGAUGCAGCCAUGCCGCGUGUGUGAAGAAGGCCUUAGGGUUGUAAAGCACUUUCAGCGAGGAGGAAGGGUAGUGUGUUAAUAGCACAUUGCAUUGACGUUACUCGCAGAAGAAGCACCGGCUAACUCCGUGCCAGCAGCCGCGGUAAUACGGAGGGUGCAAGCGUUAAUCGGAAUUACUGGGCGUAAAGCGCACGCAGGCGGUUUGUUAAGUCAGAUGUGAAAUCCCCGCGCUUAACGUGGGAACUGCAUUUGAAACUGGCAAGCUAGAGUCUUGUAGAGGGGGGUAGAAUUCCAGGUGUAGCGGUGAAAUGCGUAGAGAUCUGGAGGAAUACCGGUGGCGAAAGCGGCCCCCUGGACAAAGACUGACGCUCAGUGCGAAAGCGUGGGGAGCAAACAGGAUUAGAUACCCUGGUAGUCCACGCUGUAAACGAUGUCGAUUUGGAGGUUGUGCCCUUGAGGCGUGGCUUCCGGAGCUAACGCGUUAAAUCGACCGCCUGGGGAGUACGGCCGCAAGGUUAAAACUCAAAUGAAUUGACGGGGGGCCCGCAACAAGCGGUGGGAGCAUGUGUUUAAUUCGAUGCAACGCGAAGAAUCCUACCUACUCUUGACAUCAGAAGAACUUCUUCUAGAGAUGGCUUAGCUGCCUUUCCGCGAACUCCUGGAGAACAGUG
rnacentral:rRNA from 1 species